CCCUCUUACAAAGACAUGUAGCUUUCCCUGUCUUUGGACACCCAAGAACUGGAGGCCAAGAAACACGGACUUGAAGAAAUCUGCGGCCAGCUCUCUCCCUGCAGGCUCAAGACCAACCAUCCCACACAG